UACGGAGGGCGCAAGCGUUGUUCGGAAUUACUGGGCGUAAAGCGCCCGUAGGCGGCUAAUUAAGUUGGACGUGAAAGCUCCUGGCUUAACUGGGAGAGGCCGUUCAAAACUGGUUGGCUAGAGUGAGGCAGAGGAGCGUGGAAUUCCCGGUGUAGUGGUGGAAUGCGUAGAGAUCGGGAGGAACACCAGUGGCGAAAGCGGCGCUCUGGGCCUAAACUGAUGCUGAGGGGCGAAAGCGUGGGGAGCGAACGGG
rnacentral:rRNA from 1 species